GGAAUUACUGCGGAUUAUUGGAGAUGGUUCCUUGAUUAUCGCAACAGUGAAGAAACAAAGGAGAAGUGUAGAAAAAAUGCUGAGAAUCGAUCGAAGCAGUUAUACACUCAUACUGGCGGAUCAAAAAGCUUGGCAAGGCUCGGAGAAGAAGAGUCAGAACGACAAGGGCGUCCAGUUAGUAGGGGGAGUUGUUUGUCUUAACGCACAAACGAUCUAAUGGAUCCUAUCUCCAUGAUGCAGCUCGGGCUAUUGGUGUAAGAAAGAAUUGUGGAGAUUGAGCAACAUGAUGAAUCAUCUAGACUGUUGUCUCAGAAUGAUUCACUUGCUCAAGC